CUGAGGUUUGUCAGUUCCUCUAGGAGACUCUGAACCUGAAGUUUCCCAAAACCUGAGCCUAGGAUCCAAACUAACUUGCUGGUGGGUUGUUGCCUCUGCCAUAAGCAGAUCAGAGCAUCUGAGGGAAGAGUCCUCUUCAGAUUUCAAUCUCCAAAGCUUGGGGCAGGGCUGGUCCCCCCUGUGCACCACCAUACUUCAGCAAGCUGUCCUUAUUGCACGUUCUCAGGGAGAGCAGGAAGCAUGGUACCUGGCUGUUCUUCUUCAACAGGACAGUGGUGCCAUCAUCGAUCUCAAAUUCUCCAUAGUCUCUCAAACACCGCACCUGUGAAGCAGAAAGGUAGCUGUGUCUGCAGCAUUACACCUCCCACAGAAAAUGUCAGACAUCACUGCAAGAGACGCAAGAGUUAUGGAGCAUAUGUCUGAAGUGCGGACAUAUUCCUACCCACCUCGCACAGCCCUGACUUGAAAAUACAAAACCAGGUGGACCCCAUAGUCUGAGGGCCUACCUGAUGUUCUCUUCAUGCCUCUGCCUGCAACAUGAAGCACAGUGGGCAGAGCAGGCACCCCAGAGACUAAGGAAAGAGUAGCACUGCACAACAGCAGCAUUUCUAGAGCCUCCUCACACAUGUAGCAGAAAAUGUCAGUCUGUUAGCAGUGAAACAGUUAUAAAGAGCAGGCUGGUUGCCUGUAUGUUUUCUUUUUAAGAGAACACAGCACUUCAGCUACUGACUCCGAAAUCAUUUUCCACUUGCUUUUGCUUUGUUGUAUCAAUGGCAUAAAAUGAUUUAUAGUCUGAUCUGUGAAAAUCUAUUAAACAAUGACAAGAAAGCACCAACACCUAGUUGACAAUGCUUAAGUGAGAACAAGGUUUCUAAUUGAUCUGAAGAGGUCUUUAGAAGAAUAAUUAAAUUGCUACGAACUACA